UACGGAGGGUGCGAGCGUUGUUCGGAAUUACUGGGCGUAAAGGGCGCGUAGGCGGUAGUGAUAGUCAGGUGUGAAAUCCUUCGGCUUAACCGGAGAACUGCAUCUGAAACUUCACAACUAGAGUACAGGAGAGGGAAACGGAAUUCCCGGUGUAGAGGUGAAAUUCGUAGAUAUCGGGAGGAACACCAGUGGCGAAGGCGGUUUCCUGGCCUGAUACUGACGCUGAGGCGCGAAAGCGUGGGGAGCAAAC
rnacentral:rRNA from 1 species